rnacentral:rRNA from 1 species
CCUACGGGGGGCUGCAGUCGAGAAUAUUCCACAAUGGACGAAAGUCUGAUGGAGCGACGCCGCGUGCAGGAUGAAGGCCCUUGGGUUGUAAACUGCUUUUGUAAGGGAAGAAUUUCGAUGACGGUACCUUACGAAUAAGAGGUUACUAACUCUGUGCCAGCAGUAGCGGUAAUACAGAGACCUCAAGCGUUAUCCGGAUUUAUUGGGCGUAAAGAGCUGGUAGGUUGUUAUAUUAGUCAGAUGUCAAAUCUUCGAGCUCAACUCGAAAACUGCAUUUGAAACGGUAUAACUAGAGGGUGUGAGAGAUCUAUGGAACUCAUGGUGUAGCAGUGAAAUGCGUUGAUAUCAUGAGGAACACCAAAGGCGAAGGCAUUAGAUUGGCACACUCCUGACACUGAGCAGCGAAAGCGUGGGUAGCGAAUGGGAUUAGAUACCCCUGUAGUC